CGGUAUCCCCACACGUGCACUUUUGAUGAAUCAACAUGUAUGGUGGGGCGCUCAGGGCUGUGAGUAGGAGGCAAGGGAGUAGCAGAAGUGAAGUCGCGGUGGAGAGAGUGCCCCACUGUUGUCCUCGCCUCGAGCCUCAAGGAGCGAGUAAACUAGCCAGAAUAUACUCGAAUAUACUCAGAAGACCCAGAAACGUUUUGACCGAAUAUACAACAUCGAGCCAACGAGACGGGUUUUACUCACCAUCCUCGCCCUUCACCGGGGCGAUAACGGUCAUGAGGCCUGGUCCACACCAACCCGGGGUCCAUAAUGCCUGGGGAGGCUGUCGCUUCCUGGGGGACGUAUCGGUUCCACGUGGGGCGAGAUAGGACUCUCUAUGAGCACACCUGGUCUAUCAAGGGUAGGCGGUGGCGUAGGUGGUAGCGUACUGGGCCCACAUUCAACGCGUGAUGGACG